CAUGUAUUCAGGUUUUUCUCUUAUACUUAUCAAGUGCAGAAACUUUAGAAGUAAAAUUGCCCUCCAGAGUUUUAAGUCAGAGCAUGAAUCCAGGAGCAAGAACUUUCAUAAAAAUGCCGAUUGUGACCAGGCUUGUGCCAAAACCCCCUAAGCACUCUGGCAUGGCAUUCCUGAGCCAAGAAGAUGGAUAUAUAGGAUAUAUAGACCUCAUCUGGUCCAUCGUUUUGCUGGAAGAUGAGGCAGCUGCCAAGUUUUUACAGUAGCUAUAUUGAGUCGUUGAGUCUCAAGGUGGAAGAGAGCUCAUACACGCAAUGCUAUAUCAGUGACCAAGACACAGCCCCACGCUCUCUCUGCUUCGUAUAGUGUAUUGCUCAUGGCAGUCAAUUGUACCUGUUGAAUAAAUUCUUUAUUUCAGAUAUAGCUUUGAUGAAUGGCUCUGCCUGAUGCACAAAAGAAUCACAAGCAAAAUAUUGAAUCUCAAGGCUAUAUUAUGCCCUCUGAGGUGUCCUCUGGCUCUAUCUUUUUGAAUCUACAUGUGGAAGAAGAGAAAGUAGCCAGUAGCCUGCCCAUGGCAGCAUGGUCCUAUUGAAAGGAAAGGAAAGAGCAUUAUAUCCUGCAAAGCGAUGCUCUUCUAUGUUCUCCAGCAAGCUUGGUCACUUCAGAUGACUUCUGGGCCCACGGACCACUCUGUCUCUUGCAGGCUGUUACAUCAAUAUUCAAAGUCCACUUAGAAACCGGAGAAAAAUCUUCAAAAAGGGGAAUAUGGAUUAUCAGCAGGCAAACUCCUCCAGUGAGUUGCAAUCAUGGAAAGGAAAGAACGUCUGGGAACAGAAGAUCUGUGUUUAGGGGAAGUGAAAGACAGUAUUACCUGUAUUAUUUUAUCGUCAUGUAUCUCUGAUCUGGAAGAAUUCGUCUACAGACCUUUAGGAAGAAGAGGAUAACUUAGUGCCUGGUUAUAUUCAGUAUUUGGCUUGGUCUGUUGAGACCAGUGGGAAGAAAUGAGUUUAUUGUGGUUGAUGUUUGCAGGAAGCUGAAGACUCUUCAAGCAUAUAAAGUGCCAAAACUACUUGAAUCAACUCUUUCUGUUUCUGAAAUGGUGCAGAUAAAAUAUAACCAUUCAGAAACACUGCCAAGAAGGAACAGGCUGCUAUUUUUAUGUUGUGGAGCAACAUGGCAAUGUAGAAGCAAGAACCAGUCCAGUAAAGGGUAGGACUGCAUAGAUGUCACUUCAUAGUCAAAGUGUCCCACCUCUCAAGUCUUGUCUUGAGCCAGCCUCCAUGCAGUCAUAAAGAUUAGGCACUUUGAGACUUGAAAUUCAUUAACCAAGAGAGAGAUUUCCCUAAAUGUUUUCGGUCUAUGAAGCCGUCCAGCAAAAUUCAUGUCUGAAUUUUGUUUUAUUCCUUUCCCCCGACAACACUGGGAUAUCUUUCCUACUCCUAUCAGUUUGCCGUAGGUUGUUAAUAGCAGAAUUGAAUAAAAUUCUUCAAGAACAAGGUCUGCUGCAAUGAUACGUUUUACUUAAAUAUGUGAUCAAACGAAAAUGCAGCUUCUGAAGAACAUUUUAAAACAAGAGCAAAAUCUGGCAACUUGUUAGAUGCCCUCAAUGACUGUAGUCUUACCAGAAACUUUGAUCACUGCUUCCUUCAUCUCUUUUCAUGCUGCUUACAAAGUUACUUGUGUAAAGAUGUAGUGCAUGAUUUACUUUAACGAAGGAAAGACAAAUUCAUUCUGAAGGCAGGAGAUGGAUGAUCUCUGGGCUUGAGUCACGUGUAGAUCUUGAAUGAUUUGGUGCGGUUGCUGUGGAGAAGUUGUGCGAAGUGGCUGGCGGCAGGGCUGUACCAGAGAACAUUGUUGUGCUAAUUAUUGACUAUAAUGAAGUAGAAAGAUGAUCUUCUGCAGUCAGUUUAAUUAUUUCAGAAUUGGAGAUGAACUUUCCCCAAAGCUGUAUGGUAUAGUGGGUAUCUCUGUGCUAACCCUCCUACCAGCCCUGUCUGCACGCUCACAUUUUGAGCCAUCCGGAAGCUCUUAUGGGCCAGGAGCCAUACCCUGAAGCAUUACAGUCUUCUCCAGGGAAGCUGCGGUGAUUACUAAAGAAAUUUAUUUAGUCCAUCAGAGAUGGUUCCCACCACUGAUGCAGGUACUAUUUAGGUGCCGUCCUGUGACUGCAGUAUUUCAGAAGGAAAAAUGGAGAAUGACUUUUCCAUUUGAAGCCAUACGAUAGGAUUCAGCCAGACAGGAUGUAAUUACCCUAGCUGGAGCUGGGCCAGGGGAGAAGAUCUGUGGCUCCCCGUCAGCAGGCUGAUUUUCACUACUUUCAAAUGAGAGGUUGCACAGAACACGGCAAAAUAAGUGAAACAAACUUGGUUUCUGUCUGGACAUCUCCUCCAUCAUGACCACAUCAGACACAAAUGAUGCACAAGUAGGUGUGCCCUGGAUUGCCCUUCAAAGACUCAGCUCAGAAAUCCAAAUAAAAGAGCAGCUGGAGGCGAGGAGCCUUUCCCAUUCAUUCAGGUGAGUUGCGAAGUGGGUAAUGAAAAUGCUAUUGUUUUCUAACACCGGCAAAAUAGAUUAUUCAGGCAAAUAAAUUCUGCUUGUGACUCUUCCUCUUACAAUAGAAACUGUGGCCCUAAUCCAGUAAAGCACUUUAGUAUGUGCUCGACUGGAAAUUUGUGAGCGGUCCUGCUGGUUGCAAGGGAUCAGCUCUCGUGCUUAAAGUUAAAUAUGAGGAGUGGGAGCUGGCAGGUGUGUGGAUGAGUGUGAUCGCCCAAGGGCCCUGCCUUAUUAUCUAUGAUUAUACGGGCUUAGCAUUUGGCUGGAUCAGGGCCCAUUUGAACAAAGAAGCAGGAUUAGCAGGCGUGCAAACAGGGAACAAAGCCAGAGGGUUCCAGCAGUGUCGAACACAACUUUGUUACUCUGACAGAAUAUAUAAAAGUGAAUGAAAAGGCUGCAUGAUUGCUGUUGCUAUCCUGUUAAUUAGGCUGAACUCAUGCUUCAUUAGUGCUACAAUAUGCUUCCAUCUUAACAAAGCCCUAUUGGGUGUAUGGAGGCACUUUACUAUUAGUAAAAUGAAACCUUAUCAGAAAGCCCUGUAAUUCAUUUCGUGAGACAAGUCAUGACAUAUGUUGUGUUGAAAUUGCACUGAAGAGACAGAUUACUCGCUUAACACUUGCUUUUCCUAAUGAACAUGAAAAGAUGUUUUCAAAACUGAGUUAUUUAUUUUAUUGGGAGCACUUCUGACCUUAUGCCUAAUUACAUUGCAUAGUCCUUUAGCAGUGUUUCAAGGAGUUCCUAAAUAACACAAAUUGAACUAAGCUGCUUUUGCUCUUGCACAUUCUCUCAGUGGCAUCUUGGAAAUACGGCCAAACAUUAAAACCCCUGUUUCUUGCUGUCAUUGUGGGAAAGAGAGUUUUGCGUAUAACCAGUACGAUGUCCCUGCAGCAGGAAUGCAGCAAAAGCACUAGCACAACCCAUAUUCCCACACUGCAGCAAUAUAAAGCAGCACUGAUUAAGCAGCAUAGUGAAAACGUGACAAAGAAGCAAGAAAAAACUAGGCUCAUUCACUGCCCCCAAAAAAAUGCUGCACUCCCUUCAGGACUACUGUAUCACGGGCAGGGUGUGUUAUUUGUAGUAGCAUUACAACAGAUGCUCACGUGUCAGUGAUAUUCCUGUGGACUCACUGUGCUGGGAAAUUAUGGCACAGGUCCUCACUGGCCUCGACUGCAGGGCUAACUCAAGUCAGUCCUGCCCUACCAGACAUCCCUGCUUUCUUAGCAAGGUUGGUGGGUUUCUGUGGGUGCCUUCAAAACUGGGUUUCCGUAGAUUAGAAUAUGUUAAGACUACUAAAACAAAAAAAAAAAAAGAAAAAGAAAAUCCCGAAGAGUUUUUGCUGAUCUUGGUCGUUAUCCAUCUAGCACAGCAUAUGGCAGCCCUCCGCAGUGUGGUUGGCACUGCGGGAGUAAAUCAGUCAUGAGUGGGGAGAGAAGGAGCAAAUGGGUGGGAAAGUGCAUGUAAGGAGGAGAUACUUUAACGGAUCUGCCACUGAGGGUACAAAGAUUAGUUGUGUUCACAAAAGCGUGAAUUUGAGGCAGAAUAAUUUACCAACCUGUGUAACUAAUUGCUGGUGACUGUUAGGGACGGGGGGGCAGGUUAUGCUUGGUGCUCCAGUGAUUGUCUCAUGCAAUGACUCUUUCUGCUACAGGCUGUAGUCAUAUGGCAAAUGCUGGCUUCAUUUCAGUACAACAGGGUGCUCCACCAUCUUCCACAGAAGGCCCUUGUUUGAUGGAUCCCUUCUGGGAGCCCCAGUGGCAGCAUCGCUGUCUGCAUCAGCCAAAAGCAGCUGUGUCCAACAGAGCAGGUCAUGCAUGGUGGAGCCGGACUCAACCUCAUUCUAGCUCUCAGCUCUUUCUACCUGAAUGAUCUGGAUUGCUGGUGGUAAGCUCAGGGAAAAGAAAUGUGUAGCAACGCCUUUUUAUUUUCAUAUUUCCUCCUUGUACCAUUCUUUAGCCUUACUUUAAACAUCUCUGCCUACUCAUGUCUUCCUACAGCAGAUGUAAAAAUACCUCCCUCUGUCCAUUUUCAAUGUUAUACCUUGCAGAUCUGACCCUAUAUGAGGGUCAUAACAGCACAGUCCAAUAGAGAAGAAAAAUGACGGUGAGGUAAUGUAGCAAAACCAACUGUCUGAAAGAGCAUCUCGUAACCGCUCACAGAUUCUCUUUGCUCUUCCAAAUUGGGCUACUUGUAUUGUCAUACUCAGGCAAUUGUUAAUGUAACCCUGUGAAAUCCAUGGAUUUUAUCCCAGGGUGGCUGCAGCCACAAGCAAGUGCCAUGGAUGAUGAGCGCAGGCUCACAUUGAUGUGCCAGGUGCUGCACAACUGCAUAUUCCCAAUGAAACUGGCAGCAGCCCCGUGGAGCCAGCGGAGCUACGCUUGUUUGCACCAAAUCAGUUUUGCCCCGGAGAUCAAAAGUGAGCACUUUGAUGUGAAAUUUAUAACAAUGACUGCUGGGAACUAGAGGUUGUUUUCAGAAAAUGCAUUAUUUACUAUGUAAAUAGUCUCUUAUUCUUACAGGCAUAGGAAAUGCUGCACUACAGUACAUUUGGGAAGAUUCUGAAAGAUUUUCUUCCAAGAUGGAAUAAUGCCUUGAUGCCUUAGGAACACAAUCAACGCAAACCACAGUUGUUAUCAGGUUAGUUUAGAUCUCAAUCAGAUCCCUUGCUCCACUUUGCUGUGCAGCUGUAGAGAUGCUCGAGCUGAAACAAAGUGAUGAGACAGAAUGGAGCAGAGCAGCACAGGAAUAGUCAUUUUGGCGACAGACCCACCUUACUUAAAUUUAAAAUGAUCAUAGAACUGUCAUAUGAGAUAGGCAAUUGCUAAUGUUCUCCACUGCUUAUGAUCAAGGUCAUAUCUACAACUGCCUGAUUGCUUAACCAAGUGGUUUCCUAAACUCAUUUUUGUAUAGCUUACAUAUAUAUCCAGAAGUGAAUAAAGAAAGCUAAAGUGUCAAAUAGCAAGAAAUUGUAACUGCUAACUCACAAUUGUGGGGUUUAGUAUGUAGAAUCUGUAAGAACACCUAAUUCGCCAUGCUCUUGGCUGAGUUUGUAAAUGUGAAUAUGAAAUAAAUGAGCCAUUAUCAAUCUGUUCCUACAGAAUAACUUCAACAACAGUACAAGAUGCAAUCCACUUGCAAACGGCUAGUCCAGUUAUCCUGUGUUUUGUUUUUAAACAGCCUUCCUGGGGUGAAAUAACUAUUUUUAAAAGGUGGGUGGUCAAAAUUUAAGGUAUGGAGGAGCACAGGCUCCCCUCCCACUUCCCUGUGCUUCUGAACUGAGUUUUCAGGGUUGGUGGGUGUCAUGCGGUGGUGGAUGUAUUUUGAUUCACAUGUCAUAUGUCUUAACUCUCCACAGUGUUUUGCAUCUGGGUCAGCUGUAUUUUUAUCAAGCAUUAGCAUGCAUAAGGG